GAUGAACGCUGGCGGCGUGCCUAAUACAUGCAAGUCGAGCGAACAGAUGAGGAGCUUGCUCCUCUGACGUUAGCGGCGGACGGGUGAGUAACACGUGGAUAACCUACCUAUAAGACUGGGAUAACUUCGGGAAACCGGAGCUAAUACCGGAUAAUAUAUUGAACCGCAUGGUUCAAUAGUGAAAGACGGUUUUGCUGUCACUUAUAGAUGGAUCCGCGCCGCAUUAGCUAGCUGGUAAGGUAACGGCUUACCAAGGCAACGAUGCGUAGCCGACCUGAGAGGGUGAUCGGCCACACUGGAACUGAGACACGGUCCAGACUCCUACGGGAGGCAGCAGUAGGGAAUCUUCCGCAAUGGGCGAAAGCCUGACGGAGCAACGCCGCGUGAGUGAUGAAGGUCUUCGGAUCGUAAAACUCUGUUAUUAGGGAAGAACAAAUGUGUAAGUACCUAUGCACGUCUUGACGGUACCUAAUCAGAAAGCCACGGCUAACUACGUG
rnacentral:rRNA from 1 species